GACGAACGCUGGCGGCGUGCCUAAUACAUGCAAGUCGAGCGGACUGAUUAAGAGCUUGCUCUUAUGACGUUAGCGGCGGACGGGUGAGUAACACGUGGGCAACCUGCCCUGUAGAUCGGGAUAACACCGAGAAAUCGGUGCUAAUACCGGGUAAUAUCUGAGAUCACAUGAUCUUAGGUUAAAAGAUGGCUCCGGCUAUCACUACAGGAUGGGCCCGCGGCGCAUUGGGGAGUUGGUAAGGUAAUGGCUUACCAAGGCGACGAUGCGUAGCCGACCUGGGAGGGUGAGCGGCCACACUGGGACUGAGACACGGCCCAGACUCCUACGGGAGGCAGCAGUAGGGAAUCUUCCGCAAUGGACGAAAGUCUGACGGAGCAACGCCGCGUGAGUGAUGAAGGGUUGCGGCGCGUAAAGCUCUGUUGUUAGGGAAGAAACAGUACCGAACGAACUAGGUCGGUACCUUGACGGUACCUAACCAGAAAGCCACGGCUAACUACGUG
rnacentral:rRNA from 1 species